rnacentral:snRNA from 1 species
GGCUUCACGCUCAGGAGAGCUCCUCCUCAUGAUUUCGGGUGCUCUACACAGUCAGAGAAACUUCUCUAGUAACGAACUAUAGAAAUGAUCCCUGAAAGUAUAGUCUU